rnacentral:rRNA from 1 species
GACGAACGCUGGCGGCGUGCUUAGCACAGGCAAGUCGAGCGAUGAAGUUUUUUCGGAAAUGGAUUAGCGGCGAACGGGUGAGGAACACGUGAAGAAUCUGCCCUCCACUUUGGGAUAACACAGGGAAACCUGUGCUAAUACCGAAUAUUGAAACAUAAGUGGCAUCACUGAGUUUUGAAAGAAUUUCGGUGGAGGAUGACUUCGCGGCCUAUCAGCUAGUUGGUGAGGUAAUGGCUCACCAAGGCAACGACGGGUAGCCGGCCUGAGAGGGCGACCGGCCACGCUGGGACUGGGACACGGCCCAGACUCCUACGGGAGGCAGCAGUGGGGAAUAUUGGGCAAUGGAGGAAACUCUGACCCAGCGACGCCGCGUGCGGGAUGAAGGCCUUCGGGUUGUAAACCGCUUUCAGUAGGGAAGAAGCGAAAGUGACGGUACCUACAAAAGAAGCACCGGCUAACUAUGUGCCAGCAGCCGCGGUAA